rnacentral:rRNA from 1 species
AUACGGAAGGUCCGGGCGUUAUCCGGAUUUAUUCGGUUUAAAGGGAGCGCAGGCGGAGAUGCAAGCGUGACGUCAAAUUUCGGGGCUCAACCCCGUCUCGCGUCGCGAACUGCGUCCCUUGGUUGCGGGAAGGGGAGGCGGAACCCGUGGGGUAGCGGGGAAAUGCAUAGAUAUCACGAAGAACUCCGAUCGCGAAGGCAGCCUGCCGGGCCGCGACUGACGCUGAAGCUCGAAGGUGCGGGUAUCGAACAGGAUUAGAUACCCUGGUAGUCCGCACAGUAAACGAUGGAUACUCGCUGUCGGCGAUAUACGGUCGGUGGCCAAGCGAAAGCGUUAAGUAUCCCACCUGGGGAGUACGCCGGCAACGGUGAAACUCAAAUGAAUUGACGGGG